GCAUGCUCAGUGGAACCUGUUUCCUAAACACAACAAUGCGUCCUCUUCUGUAUCCUAGCAACGAGGGACCGUCCAAUAGUAGGGGUGUAUGAAUCCGGUAAAGCUGAAAAUAGAUGAGAAAAUGGCACGGGGAUAUGUUACAUUUUUAACAUUUCAAUAUAUAUUUCAUGAAAAAUGCAUUUAUAUCAUACAGUUGUAAUUAAAAUAGCCAUUUUAAAACGGUUCGUUUUAAUGCCUGAGGUGACUUCCCCUCAUGCGAGUUGGUUUCCCUUCUAAUUUCGUGUCCGUUUGUCAGACUCUCUACGUUACCGCGCGAAAGGAAAUUUAUGCAAAUUUCAAUUUUUAAGCCCAAUAUAUUGUUUAAAUGUUUGAAAUAUGUUUUUAAUCGACUUGUGUCUGUAAUCCUGAACUGUUCUGGUGUGUUGGUGCUUUAAACUCCCGUUGAGUUCAUCUCACGCGAGUCUCAGAUGGAGAAAUUUAUUCCGAUGAAGAGGUCGGCAGAGGUAGCAGAUCAGUGGUGUGUAAGGGCAGAAUGAAAGGCUGCAUACAUUUCGUGGCUACCAUCUGCAGUGACAAAUCAAAGAGACCCGAACUCACAAACCAUAUGUGAGACUUGCUCAUAAGGUUAAGCACGACAAUGUGGUGUCUUUUUAUGAAUGGUAUGAGAGCAGCAACCAUCUGUGGUUGGUGGUGGAGAUGUGCACAGAUUUUGUUGGAUGUACUGGGAACUCUGAAGUACUCGGAUUUCUGCCUGGCUAAAGCUCAAGGAGAAAGUCUGGAGGAGUUCUUCUCUCUUAUGGCAGAGGAGACGGGAGCUGGAGACAGCAAAGACAACGUUAUCUCUCCACGAAACAUCAAGAACAAAAU